AUUGAACGCUGGCGGCAGGCCUAACACAUGCAAGUCGAGCGGCAGCGGGAAAGUAGCUUACUACUUUUGCCGGCGAGCGGCGGACGGGUGAGUAAUGCCUGGGGAUCUGCCCAGUCGAGGGGGAUAACUACUGGAAACGGUAGCUAAUACCGCAUACGCCCUACGGGGGAAAGCAGGGGACCUUCGGGCCUUGCGCGAUUGGAUGAACCCAGGUGGGAUUAGCUAGUUGGUGAGGUAAUGGCUCACCAAGGCGACGAUCCCUAGCUGGUCUGAGAGGAUGAUCAGCCACACUGGAACUGAGACACGGUCCAGACUCCUACGGGAGGCAGCAGUGGGGAAUAUUGCACAAUGGGGGAAACCCUGAUGCAGCCAUGCCGCGUGUGUGAAGAAGGCCUUCGGGUUGUAAAGCACUUUCAGCGAGGAGGGAAGGUUGGUAGCUAAUAACUGCCAGCUGUGACGUUACUCGCAGAAGAAGCACCGGCUAACUCCGUGCCAGCCGCCGCCGUAACAC
rnacentral:rRNA from 1 species